CGGUGACGGCAACGGCGAUAAUAAUAAUAAUAAUAAUAAUAAUCGGGUCUCCGAGGAUUAUUAUUAUUAUUAUUAUUAUUGUCGCCGCGGUUU